rnacentral:rRNA from 1 species
ACGGAAGGCAGCAGUGAGGAAUAUUGGUCAAUGGGCGAGAGCCUGAACCAGCCAAGUAGCGUGAAGGAUGACGGCCCUACGGGUUGUAAACUUCUUUUGCCGGGGGAUAAAAAACGGGACGUGUCCCGUCUUGCAGGUACCCGUGCGAAUAAGGACCGGCUAAUUCCGUGCCAGCAGCCGCGGUAAUACGGAAGGUCCGGGCGUUAUCCGGAUUUAUUGGGUUUAAAGGGAGCGCAGGCGGAGAUGUAAGCCAGCCGUAAAAUCGUGGGGCUCAACCCCAUCCCGCGGUUGGAACUGCAUCCCUUGAGUGCACGAGAGGAUGGUGGAAUUCGUGGUGUAGCGGUGAAAUGCAUAGAUAUCACGAAGAACUCCGAUUGCGAAGGCAGCCAUCUGGCGUGUUACUGACGCUCAUGCUCGAAGGUGCGGGUAUCAAACAGGAUUAGAUACCCUGGUA